rnacentral:hammerhead_ribozyme from 1 species
GCACUGCUGAAGAGUCCCAUACUAGGACGAAAAGGUCAUCCAGUGC